UACAGGGGGUGCAAACGUUGCUCGGAAUCAUUGGGCGUAAAGCGCACGUAGGCGGUUCGUUAUGUCGGAUGUGAAAGCCCUUGGCUUAACCGAGGAAGUGCAUCCGAAACUGGCGAGCUAGAGUACGAAAGAGGAUCGCGGAAUUCCCGGUGUAGAGGUGAAAUUCGUAGAUAUCGGGAGGAACACCGGUGGCGAAGGCGGCGAUCUGGGUCGAUACUGACGCUGAGGUGCAAAAGCGUGGGGGAGCAAACAGG
rnacentral:rRNA from 1 species